rnacentral:rRNA from 1 species
GUUGAACGCUGGCGGCAGGCCUAACACAUGCAAGUCGAGCGGUAGAGAGAAGCUUUCUUCUCUUGAGAGCUGCGGACGGGUGAGUAAUGCCUAGGAAUCUGCCUGGUAGUUGGGGAUAACGUUCGUAAACGGACGCUGAUACCGCAUACGUCCUACUGUAGAAAGCCGGGGACCUUCGGGCCUUGCGCUAUCAGCUGAGCCUAGGUCGGAUUAGCUAGUUGGUGAGGUAAUGGCUCACCAAGGCGACGAUCCGUAACUGGUCUGAGAGGAUGAUCAGUCACACUGGAACUGAGACACGGUCCAGACUCCUACGGGAGGCAGCAGUGGGGAAUCUUGGACAAUGGGCGAAAGCCUGAUCCAGCAACGCCGCGUGUGUGAAGAAGGUCUUCGGAUCGUAAAACACUUUAAGUUGGGAGGAAGGGAAGUAAAAUAAUCCGUUGAUGUUUUGACGUUACCGAAACAAAAAGCAACGGCUAACUACGUG